GAGUAGGUUAUUGCCAGGGUUUUUAUUUUUAUACUUUAAACUUUGAUUUUAUUUUUAUGUUUUUUAAAUAUUGGUGUUUUUGAAUGUGUUGUUUAAAUAACAUAAAAAAUAAAAUAUAUAUUGACAUGUAUUAAACAAAGAUAUAUAUUAUUUUAUGUUGUAUAAAUAAAUUGGCAAAAUAGAGAUGGAAGAUAAAAAUAUGGUCAAAGUAAUAAGAGUCUAUGGUGAAUGCCUAGA
rnacentral:misc_RNA from 1 species